rnacentral:rRNA from 1 species
UACAGAGGGUGCAAGCGUUGUUCGGAAUUAUUGGGCGUAAAGCGCGUGUAGGCGGCAUUGCAAGUCGGGUGUGAAAGCCCUCAGCUCAACUGAGGAAGUGCGCCCGAAACUGCAGUGCUUGAGUACCGGAGAGGAUGGCGGAAUUCCCCAAGUAGAGGUGAAAUUCGUAGAUAUGGGGGAGGAACACCGGUGGCGAAGGCGGCCAUCUGGACGGUCACUGACGCUGAGACGCGAAAGCGUGGGUAGCAAACAGG